rnacentral:rRNA from 1 species
AACGAACGCUGGCGGCAUGCCUAACACAUGCAAGUCGAACGAAGCCUUCGGGCUUAGUGGCGCACGGGUGCGUAACGCGUGGGAAUCUGCCCUUUGGUUCGGAAUAACAGUUGGAAACGACUGCUAAUACCGGAUGAUGACGAAAGUCCAAAGAUUUAUCGCCAGAGGAUGAGCCCGCGUAGGAUUAGCUAGUUGGUGUGGUAAAGGCGCACCAAGGCGACGAUCCUUAGCUGGUCUGAGAGGAUGAUCAGCCACACUGGGACUGAGACACGGCCCAAACUCCUACGGGAGGCAGCAGUGGGGAAUAUUGGACAAUGGGCGAAAGCCUGAUCCAGCAAUGCCGCGUGAGUGAUGAAGGCCCUAGGGUUGUAAAGCUCUUUUACCCGGGAUGAUAAUGACAGUACCGGGAGAAUAAGCCCCGGCUAACUCCGUGCCAGCCGCCGCGGUAA